rfam:Flavobacterium psychrophilum JIP02/86 complete genome
GCUUAGCCCCGAUAGAAGUGGAAAUCCUUUUGUUUUUUUCUUUAAAAAACAAAAGAUUGGAACGGAUAGCGGGAAUGGCU